rnacentral:rRNA from 1 species
UACGGAGGGUGCGAGCGUUAUCCGGAUUCACUGGGUUUAAAGUGUGCGUAGGUGGGCAGGUAAGUCAGUGGUGAAAUCUCCGGGCUUAACCCGGAAACUGCCAUUGAUACUAUCAGUCUUGAAUACCGUGGGGGUAAGCGGAAUAUGUCAUGUAGCGGUGAAAUGCUUAGAUAUGACAUAGAACACCAAUUGCGAAGGCAGCUUACUACCCGAAUAUUGACACUGAGGCACGAAAGCGUGGGGAGCAAACAGG